GGGGAUGUCACGGGUUCGACAUGAUCAAGGUUUAAGUGAAUGCAGUGGGGUAUGCCCCUUAUAGCUUGAGAUGCAAACAAAUGCAGACAAACAAGAAGAAGUAGCUAUUAAUCAACCAUUAUUAGCUAACCAAUUCCAAUACAACUUCGCAGUAGCUGCUUAAUUAUAAACAGUUCAAUGUGAAUAUUGGGUGUAGUAGAUAUUUCGUCUCUUCUAUCUAAAACACUUUAAGCAAAGAGAAUAUAUCAUUGCGAUGCUAAUAACAUUGAUGAAUCUAAUCUUAGCUAUCUCUAAUGGUGGUAGUCUAUAACCAUACAACAUUAGAUGAAGGUUUAAUAGUAGACUAAACUGUAGUAUUUGCUUAGGUUUUGUUUGUGGAAAUGGGUUCAAUUCCCAUCAUCUCCACCA
rnacentral:tmRNA from 1 species